GACGAACGCUGGCGGCGUGCUUAACACAUGCAAGUCGAGCGCCCCGCAAGGGGAGCGGCAGACGGGUGAGUAACGCGUGGGAAUCUACCGUGCCCUACGGAAUAGCUCCGGGAAACUGGAAUUAAUACCGUAUACGCCCUUUGGGGGAAAGAUUUAUCGGGGUAUGAUGAGCCCGCGUUGGAUUAGCUAGUUGGUGGGGUAAAGGCCUACCAAGGCGACGAUCCAUAGCUGGUCUGAGAGGAUGAUCAGCCACAUUGGGACCGAGACACGGCCCAAACUCCUACGGGAGGCAGCAGUGGGGAAUAUUGGACAAUGGGCGCAAGCCUGAUCCAGCCAUGCCGCGUGAGUGAUGAGGGCCCUAGGGUUGUAAAGCUCUUUCACCGGUGAAGAUAAUGACGGUGACCGGGGAAGAAGCCCCGGCUAACUUCGUGCCAGCAGCCGCAGUAA
rnacentral:rRNA from 1 species